rnacentral:rRNA from 1 species
GAUGAACGCUAGCGGCAGGCUUAAUACGUGCAAGUCGAGGGGCAUCAAGGUACACGAAAGUGUAUUGUUGGCGACCGGCGGACGGGUGAGUAAUAGGUAGGUAACCUACCUCAUACUGAGGCAUAGCUGGGAGAAAUUCCAGGUAAUUCCUCAUGAGGUUAUAUGACACAUGUGAUAUAAUCAAAGGUAUCGCAAGGUACUGGUAUGAGAUGGGCUUACUGACCAUUAGCUAGUUGGUGAGAUAAGAGCUCACCAAGGCGAAGAUGGUUAGGGGUUUGAGAGAGAGAUCCCCCACAUUGGAACUGAGAUACGGUCCAGACUCCUACGGGAGGCAGCAGUAGGGAAUAUUGGGCAAUGGGCGGAAGCCUGACCCAGCCAUGCCGCGUGAAGGAAGACGGCCUUAUGGGUUGUAAAACUUCUUUACUAUGCGACUAACUAGAUUUACGAGAUAAUUCUAUAGAAUGUAGCAUAGCAAAAAGCACCGGCUAACC